UUUCAACAACCAUCAGCAUUUUGCCACACUUGGUUCAUCACUCAACUAGCAUCCCCAGCUUUUAUUUUGUUGUAAUGUUUUAAAGCAAAUUGUAGCCACUGUGUCAGUAUGCCCUAAAUAUUUAAGUCUACUUUUAAAACAGUGAAGUUUUAACCUAAGCAUAGUAUCAUUAUCACAUUUAACAAAAUCAAUAAUUUAUUGAUGUCAUCUAAUACCAAGUUUUCUUUAUUGUCUAAAAAGUGUCUUUUUACAGUUGGUCAGUUGGAAUUAGGAUUCCAACAAGGCCCACAUUGUGCACACUAAUUCUUCUACAUAACAGAGAAGCUCUAAGCCCAAUUAGGAGAAAAAAGGAAAGGACAAUUAUAAUUGCAGCCAAUCAUAAUGGAGAUAAUGUUUUGAAACUUAUUAAUAUGCUUUUCUAUUUUGCUUCCUUCCUUUAUUGACCUUUGCUCUAGGUGUCUUGAGGCAUCCAUCAUCCUGGAAGAAGUCUAUGAUUUAUAACAGAAGGAAUGCAAAAAGAAAGAACAACCCGGAAUACUUUACUACCUCAUUGAUGUUGGUUUUGGCCUUGUGGUUUGCUUUGGCCAAUGGAAUGUUAGUGGAUGUGACCCCAGCAGAGGCUUUUAAUGUACCUGGGAAUUUUGGAUUGCCUCUUGGACUCUUGUGAUUGAUGCACCUCAAGAAGAACAUGCUCGUGGGUAGCUGCUGCCCCUUCGACCUGGGACCCAGAAUAAAUACAUGUCGAGCAGACUUGAACACAGUCUGCUACUACACUUAGCUGUCCAGCAGGGUGAAGUGGAGCUUCCUAGCCAAGCCUAGCCUGAAUUGACUGAACCAUCAUGGAUCCGCAGAUUGGUAAUUGUGAGAAUAAAUUCUUGUUGU